rnacentral:rRNA from 1 species
UACGGAGGGUGCAAGCGUUAUCCGGAUUCACUGGGUUUAAAGGGUGCGUAGGCGGGUAGGUAAGUCAGUGGUGAAAUCUUCGAGCUCAACUCGGAAACUGCCAUUGAUACUAUUUAUCUUGAAUAUUGUGGAGGUGAGCGGAAUAUGUCAUGUAGCGGUGAAAUGCUUAGAUAUGACAUAGAACACCAAUUGCGUAGGCAGCUCGCUACACAUAUAUUGACGCUGAGGCACGAAAGCGUGGGGAUCAAACAGG